rnacentral:rRNA from 1 species
UGGGGAAUUUUGGACAAUGGGGGAAACCCUGAUCCAGCCAUGCCGCGUGAGUGAAGAAGGCCUUCGGGUUGUAAAGCUCUUUCGUGAGGGAAGAAAAGGUUCAGGUUAAUAUUCUGGAUUGAUGACGGUACCUCAAGAAGAAGCACCGGCUAACUACGUGCCAGCAGCCGCGGUAAUACGUAGGGUGCGAGCGUUAAUCGGAAUUACUGGGCGUAAAGCGUGCGCAGGUGGUUUGUUAAGUCAGAUGUGAAAGCCCCGAGCUUAACUUGGGAACUGCGUUUGAAACUGGCGAGCUAGAGUCUGUCAGAGGGGGGUAGAAUUCCACGUGUAGCAGUGAAAUGCGUAGAGAUGUGGAGGAAUACCAAUGGCGAAGGCAGCCCCCUGGGAUAAGACUGACGCUCAUGCACGAAAGCGUGGGGAGCAAACAGG